rnacentral:lncRNA from 1 species
CCGCUUGCCUCGCCCAGCGCAGCCCCGGCCGCUGGGCGCACCCGUCCCGUUCGUCCCCGGACGUUGCUCUCUACCCCGGGAACGUCGAGACUGGAGCGCCCGAACUGAGCCACCUUCGCGGACCCCGAGAGCGGCGGCGCGACUCACCGCGGAGGCGCCCGGACGCGUCAAUGUCCCCCAGGGCAAGGCCUGAACCAGGUCGCGAGGGUCUGUCUCCCGUCUGGGGAGCUGAACUGCCCGAGACACUGUCGCAGUCGCGGGGACUUGUCUGGAGCGGCGGGGUCUGAGCCCAAGUCGGAAGCCGCCGCCGCCGCCAGCGUCCCGUGCGCCUGCCGCCCCGGGACCAGCCGCGAAACUUCUUCUCGGGACGGAGACAGCGCUCGCCGCCCGGGCCGAGGCCCAGCCCAAUAGGAAGCACCUGAUCCACACUCUUUCUAGCCCCAGGGAUGCUCAGGAAAGCAGCCUUUCUUUAGGGCUGUCAUCUGUUCUGGGGAUCUGUUGCUGUUUCUUGGGCCCACAGAAUACACUCCACACCUCGGGACUCCAUAAUAUUGGACAAGGCUGGAAGGCCCAUUUGGCUCCUGCAGCCUCUUAUGCAGGAGGACCUCCUGAGGCUUCGGGCAGGAGCUGGUGCACACCUGGAGGAGAGUGCUGGUGAAUGGCAGGUGUGUGCCUCAGUGUCCUUGCUGCCAGGGUGUCAGCCCUGCUUCACCACUGGCCGUUUGUCUCUGUCCCCUCCACUGGCCUCUUGAAGCACAGAGACCCUCCGGGUACUUUCCUUCCUCUGGGCUUCCACUCAUGCUAUUCCCUGCUCCCUUUUUCUACCUGGAGACCCCCAUUCCUCCUCCUCCUCUGCUGCCCUCACCUCCACCUGGGCCCUCCCAGCUCCCGGGAGAUGGCUGAACCCCACUCCCCACCCGCUAGUCAUCCUCUUCAGCGGUCCUCCCAGAGCUGUCCUCAGCAUGGCAGCCUCCACAGCCCCUGGGUGUCACCCCCGGUUUCGUGUCUGCCUCGGACUCCAGACCUGCCCCUCCCAGGCUGGCCCAGAUGGAUCCUCUACAGUGACUAACCCAAACCAGCACCAGGCAGGGACCCAAUAAACCUUUGUGAAUGGAGUAAAAAAAAAAAAAAAAAAAAAAAAAAAAAAA